CCUACGGGAGGCAGCAGUGGGGAAUAUUGCACAAUGGGGGAAACCCUGAUGCAGCGACGCCGCGUGAGUGAAGAAGGAUUUCGGUAUGUAAAGCUCUAUCAGCAGGGAAGAAGAAAGACGGUAGCAGACGAAGAAGCCCCGGCGAACUACGUGCCAGCAGCCGCGGUAAUACGGAGGGGGCAAGCGUUAGCCGGAUUUACGGGGUCUAAAGGGAGCGGAGACGGCUGUGCCAGUCUGAAGGGAAAGCCCCGGGCUCAACCCGGGGAAUGCUUUGGAAACUGUGGAGCUAGAGUGCUGGAGAGGUAAGUGGACUUCCUUGUGUAGCGGUGAAAUGCGUAGAUAUUAGG
rnacentral:rRNA from 1 species